GCCUCUUUAGCUUAGGGGUAGAGCGUUGCACUUGUAUAUUUAUAUAAGUGAUGCAAAGGUCAGCGGUUCAAUUCCGCUAGGAGGCA
rnacentral:tRNA from 2 species